rnacentral:rRNA from 1 species
AAACUGAAGAGUUUGAUCCUGGCUCAGAUUGAACGCUAGCGGGAUGCUUUACACAUGCAAGUCGAACGGCAGCACGAGAGAGCUUGCUCUCUUGGUGGCGAGUGGCGGACGGGUGAGUAAUAUAUCGGAACGUGCCCAGUAGCGGGGGAUAACUACUCGAAAGAGUGGCUAAUACCGCAUACGCCCUACGGGGGAAAGGGGGGGAUCGCAAGACCUCUCACUAUUGGAGCGGCCGAUAUCGGAUUAGCUAGUUGGUGGGGUAAAGGCUCACCAAGGCAACGAUCCGUAGCUGGUUUGAGAGGACGACCAGCCACACUGGGACUGAGACACGGCCCAGACUCCUACGGGAGGCAGCAGUGGGGAAUUUUGGACAAUGGGGGAAACCCUGAUCCAGCCAUCCCGCGUGUAUGAUGAAGGCCUUCGGGUUGUAAAGUACUUUUGGCAGAGAAGAAAAGGCAUCCCCUAAUACGGGAUGCUGCUGACGGUAUCUGCAGAAUAAGCACCGGCUAACUACGUGCCAGCAGCCGCGGUAAUACGUAGGGUGCAAGCGUUAAUCGGAAUUACUGGGCGUAAAGCGUGUGUAGGCGGUUCGGAAAGAAAGAUGUGAAAUCCCAGGGCUCAACCUUGGAACUGCAUUUUUAACUGCCGAGCUAGAGUAUGUCAGAGGGGGGUAGAAUUCCACGUGUAGCAGUGAAAUGCGUAGAUAUGUGGAGGAAUACCGAUGGCGAAGGCAGCCCCCUGGGAUAAUACUGACGCUCAGACACGAAAGCGUGGGGAGCAAACAGGAUUAGAUACCCUGGUAGUCCACGCCCUAAACGAUGUCAACUAGCUGUUGGGGCCGUUAGGCCUUAGUAGCGCAGCUAACGCGUGAAGUUGACCGCCUGGGGAGUACGGUCGCAAGAUUAAAACUCAAAGGAAUUGACGGGGACCCGCACAAGCGGUGGAUGAUGUGGAUUAAUUCGAUGCAACGCGAAAAACCUUACCUACCCUUGACAUGUCUGGAAAGCCGAAGAGAUUUGGCCGUGCUCGCAAGAGAACCGGAACACAGGUGCUGCAUGGCUGUCGUCAGCUCGUGUCGUGAGAUGUUGGGUUAAGUCCCGCAACGAGCGCAACCCUUGUCAUUAGUUGCUACGCAAGAGCACUCUAAUGAGACUGCCGGUGACAAACCGGAGGAAGGUGGGGAUGACGUCAAGUCCUCAUGGCCCUUAUGGGUAGGGCUUCACACGUCAUACAAUGGUCGGGACAGAGGGUCGCCAACCCGCGAGGGGGAGCCAAUCUCAGAAACCCGAUCGUAGUCCGGAUCGCAGUCUGCAACUCGACUGCGUGAAGUCGGAAUCGCUAGUAAUCGCGGAUCAGAAUGUCGCGGUGAAUACGUUCCCGGGUCUUGUACACACCGCCCGUCACACCAUGGGAGUGGGUUUCACCAGAAGUAGGUAGCCUAACCGCAAGGAGGGCGCUUACCACGGUGGGAUUCAUGACUGGGGUGAAGUCGUAACAAGGUAGCCGUAUCGGAAGGUGCGGCUGGAUCACCUCCUUU